rnacentral:rRNA from 1 species
CUAAGGAAUAUUUCCGCAAUGGACGAAAGUCUGACGGAGCGACGCCGCGUGAACGAAGAAGGCCGGAAGGUUGUAAAGUUCUUUUGAAACUGAAGAAUAAGUAUUGCAGGGAAUGGCGAUAUGGUGACGGUAGGUUUUGAAUAAGCAACGGCUAAUUACGUGCCAGCAGCCGCGGUAACACGUAAGUUGCGAGCGUUGUUCGGAAUUAUUGGGCGUAAAGGGCAUGUAGGCGGUUUUGCAAGCUUGGUGUGAAAUGCAUAGGCUCAACCUAUGAACUGCAUUGAGAACUACAAGACUUGAGUUACUGAGGUGGAACUGGAAUUCCAGGUGUAGG